rnacentral:lncRNA from 1 species
AUUGUGGUUGAACUCCUUUGAUGAAGCUCUUGUUGGCACCAUAAAUUGGUUUUGCUUCACACUUUCUUGAUCAAGAGUGUGUGAAGCUUUUGAGAAUUGUGGUUGCCCUUCAUUGAUGAAGCUUUUGUUGGCACCAUAAAUUGGUUUUGCUUCACACUGUCUUGAUCAAGAGUGUGUGAAGCUUUUGAGAAUUGUGGUUGCCCUUUAUUGAUGAAGCUCUUGUUGGCACCAUAAAUUGGUUUUGCUUCACACUGUCUUGAUCAAGAGUGUG